rnacentral:rRNA from 1 species
UACGGAGGGUGCAAGCGUUAUCCGGAUUUACUGGGUUUAAAGGGUGUGUAGGCGGGCUAUUAAGUCAGUGGUGAAAUCUCCGAGCUUAACUUGGAAACUGCCAUUGAUACUAUUAGUCUUGAAUUCUGUUGAGGUGGGCGGAAUAAGUCAUGUAGCGGUGAAAUGCAUAGAUAUGACUUAGAACACCAAUUGCGAAGGCAGCUCGCUAAACAGAUAUUGACGCUGAGGCACGAAAGCGUGGGGAUCAAACAGG